rnacentral:rRNA from 1 species
GACGAACGCUGGCGGCGUGCUUAACACAUGCAAGUCGAACGGAAAGGCCCUGCUUUUGUGGGGUGCUCGAGUGGCGAACGGGUGAGUAACACGUGAGUAACCUGCCCUUGACUUUGGGAUAACUUCAGGAAACUGGGGCUAAUACCGGAUAGGAGCUCCUGCUGCAUGGUGGGGGUUGGAAAGUUUCGGCGGUUGGGGAUGGACUCGCGGCUUAUCAGCUUGUUGGUGGGGUAGUGGCUUACCAAGGCUUUGACGGGUAGCCGGCCUGAGAGGGUGACCGGCGACAGUGGUACUGAGAUACGCCCCAGACGGGGACGUGGGGCAGCAGGCGGGAGCAUGGCACAACCGGCGCGCGCCUGUGAAAGCAGCGCUCGGGGCGGAAAGACCGUCUGUGGGGUAAAAAAAGCAGCAGCCUGAGACGAAGCGGGAGUGACGGUACUGGGUAAAGAAGCACCGGCUAACUACGUG